CACGGCCACACCGCAUCACACCCACACAGCCACGCUGGGGACGGCACGCCGGAGCCAUAGCCGCCACCUGAGACCCACCACCACCACCUGACCCGCUCUCCGCCUCGUUGACAAUGGCGGUGGCGCGGCUGCGCUCGGCCUCCUCGGCGGCGGCGCGGCUCCAGCCGGCGCUCGCGGGCCGGCGGCGGUACCUAGGGACCGCGGCCGCGGCGGCGGAGGCGGAGGUCGCUGUUGCCGUCGGGGCCGUCGGUGCGCGGUGGGAGCCGAUGGGGGCGCGGGAGUACUACGACUACCGGAGGGCCAUCUACGGUGACAUCACGCACAAGGCCAUCCUCGUCGACGCCGCCGGCACCCUCCUCGCCCCCACCGAGCCCAUGGCCCAGGUGUACAGAACGCUCGGCGAAAAGUACGGGGUGAAGUACUCGGAGGAUGAGAUCUUGAUGAGGUACCGGCAGGCGUACGCGCAACCGUGGGGUAGAUCACGGCUUAGGUAUGUUGACGACGGAAGACCCUUUUGGCAACAUAUAGUUAGUUCUUCUACAGGCUGCUCAAAUUUAGAAUACUUUGAGGAGCUUUAUCAUUACUAUACAACUGAAAAGGCUUGGCAGCUCAUUGACCCUGAUGCUAAAUACGUUUUUGAAGCAUUAAGAAGGGCUGGUGUAAGAACAGCUGUUGUGUCCAACUUUGACACCCGUCUCCGGCCACUUUUACAGGCCCUGAAUUGUGAUCACUGGUUUGAUGCAGUUGCUGUAUCUGCUGAGGUUGCAGCAGAAAAGCCAAACCCAACAAUAUUCUUGAAGGCCUGUGAGUUGUUGGACGUGAAACCUGAAGAGGCCGUGCAUAUUGGUGAUGACCGUAGGAACGAUUUAUGGGGAGCUAGGGACGCAGGAUGUGAUGCCUGGCUUUGGGGCAGCGAUGUUCACUCCUUCAAGGAGGUCGCAGAAAGAAUCGGAGUUAGCGUGGGUAUGGGCAACUCCAUGUGAUUCCCUACGCUUGCUCGCACUCUACACCAUAAGCCAACUCAACUGUGUGUGGCGGUCAGUGACACUUCCUUGGUUGCGCGAACCGCUACCCUUCCUUUCUUCCUGACGAGUAUGCUCGCCGAGCCCCUGAGCUUCAAUAAAAGGCUGGGAGGACGAGGUGUUCUACCUCCUUCCUGUUGUACAUAGUGCCGACCCUUCUUGCUCUCGGGUGCCUGGCUGUCUGCUGUACAUAUUUUUCCAGAGAACUGAAGGCAGCGUCUCCUGUGUCAGGCCUUAUUUUUCCUGUAUAUAUUGUAGCAACAAGUGUCAGGAGUAGUUAUAAGCCUUAAGCACUCGGUUUACUCCUUGGAUUGUUCGUUGCGUAUGUUCUGAAUCUUUGUUCAAAGAGAACCGAGCCCAGCGUGUCCCUUGCA